CCCUCCACUAGCCCCAUGUUUGACAUAUUGACCACCCCAGGAGUGGCAUAACUCUCCAAAGCUCUGAUUUUCUCAGCCAGCAGCUGAAUCUCUUUGUUCUGUGGUUGGGCACCGUAUUGACCGAAUGGUUCGUUGUGCAUGGAGAAUUGGUCAGCUUCUCGGUCUUCCUCUCUGUCAUCAUCGACCCCGAAGAAUGGAGGGAAAAGACUGUCCUUCAGAUUCUGACCCAUCGGCCCAGGUUGACCACCAGCAGCACCAAAACCAGCAGU
rnacentral:lncRNA from 1 species